CGUACAUGCCACCGGGGCAUCCCGGAGGCAGGAAAGGCUUCGGCCGGACAGGGAUGGGCAUGCGGCGCAUUAGGCAGUAGGCGGGGUAACGGCCCACCUAACCGACGAUGCGUAGGGGUUCUGAGAGGAAGGUCCCCCACACUGGUACUGAGACACGGACCAGACUCCUACGGGAGGCAGCAGUGAGGAAUAUUGGUCAAUGGUCGGGAGACUGAACCAGCCAAGCCGCGUGAGGGAUGAAGGUACAGAGUAUCGUAAACCUCUUUUGUCAGGGAACAAAGGCGGGGACGUGUCCCCGGAUGAGUGUACCUGAAGAAAAAGCAUCGGCUAACUCCGUGCCAGCAGCCGCGGUAAUACGGAGGAUGCGAGCGUUAUCCGGAUUUAUUGGGUUUAAAGGGUGCGCAGGCGGUCUGUUAAGUCAGCGGUCAAAGCCCGGGGCUCAACCCCGGCCCGCCGUUGAAACUGGCAGUCUCGAGUUGGAGAGAAGUAUGCGGAAUGCGCGGUGUAGCGGUGAAAUGCAUAGAUAUCGCGCAGAACUCCGAUUGCGAAGGCAGCAUGCCGGCUCCACACUGACGCUGAGGCACGAAAGCGUGGGUAUCGAACAGGAUUAGAUACCCUGGUAGUCC
rnacentral:rRNA from 1 species